CUUUUUUAUUUGCUUUCCUAUUGUUGCUUUUCUCUUCUUAGACACGCAACCUUCUUCUUUGGUCUUUGUGCUCUCCAUUCUUCAAAUUUCCAUCUGACACACGCAACAUUUCUCUUCUUUCUUCGGCCUUUUCCAACUCUUUCUUUCUAGAACUUCUGUCUGUUGUUCAAAAUUCUUCAGAAGAACCCAAAAAAAUUGUGGAAUAUUGAGAUUGAUUCAUGCAGAAUUAGUAUCCUCAAACCUUCAUUUUCCUCUUUUUGUACAUGGGUUCCAUUCUAUUCUUAAGUUGGUGGAAUCGAAGCCAGUAGUGGUGCCACUCCAUCGAGUAAGAUUUUUGAAAUAAAUUCGGUUUCUUAGUUGAUUCUUGAUGGUUUUGGGUACAAAUCUUCCUUCUUCAUUUUCUAAUUGACUCUUCUUUUUGUUGUUAAGAUCUAUUUUGCCUGAAGUGUUUCCUUUUUUUGGGUUGAAGAUUUAUUUCUUUUGAAUUUUUAGGUUUUUUUUUAGUUGAUUGUUUAUAAUGAGUUGUUUGUAAAUUUGUAAUAGGUUGUUGGUUGUUGAUUUCUGUUUGUUUAGGGUAUCAACGCUUAAAACAUGUUUAUCAUGCAACAUAAUACAUGAAGGUGACUACCAAAUUGUUAUGGGCACACUUCUGGUAACGAAAAUGUGUAAAAAAUUUAAUGUACUAAAACCCAUAAAAAAGUAUGCACUGGAAAAGAACUUUUACCAAAGAAUUCCUAUCUUAAUAAAUCUAAUCAGCAUAACCAAUCAUGUCAAAUGCUUGCUGAAUAGCUAUAUGAGGAAGAUUUCUACUCAAUGGUAAUCUCCAAGUUAAUGAGGUAGGACCAGAUAAAGUCCAUGUAAAUCAAAGUGCCAAUGUUCAUUUUGUAACGAUCAACACUUCUUCUGCAUUUAUUUAUGGACAUUUUCAACAUCAUGGUAUUUCUACAUAACUCUUUGAUUAUCAAUUUGAAGUUCAAUUUUUUUAUUGAUUCAUUGUUUACUUUUGUAAUUCCUCUCUUCUAUUGCCUUUUAAUUUAAAUGCUUAUUCGUCUGCUUAUGUUUGCUGCGUGGAUGCUUAUUUCUAACUUUUUCCUUUAGUUGGGGAGUAUACAUUGUUAUAACUAUAUUCUUGAUUUUCUGUUCUAUAUCUUGUUUUGACUUCUGGUUCCUACAUUUAUUUUGCUUUGAAACAUUUCAAUAAAAGCGCUGCUACCCAUACAGGGGUCUAUUUUAUAGACCCUUGCUAGACCCUCACACUUGCGGGCCCCAAUGUAUUUUUUUUAAUAUGUGGGACCGACCCCUAUAAUGAGGAGUCAGUAAGACCCCUGUGAAGCUUAGCUCUGUACACAGAGCUUGAAUGUUUCAAGAAUUAUGAUAUUCGUGUAAAUUUUUUGACUUACCUUAGCAUAGUGUUCUAAAGUUACCAGCUAAAACCUUUGAUGGGAUUAAUCAGCCAAUAGAAGCUUGAAAAAUCUUGUAUCUAUAGUUAUUGGUUUUUAUUUUUGGACUUCAGCCAUUUCCAUUUUGUUCACAAGCUUGUAUUAUACUUAUGGACUCUACAAUUUUUUUACCUUGGGAUAUUGUCCUGGUUUUGGAAGGUAAUUACUUUUGCGUUUUUGGCAAGAACUCUCUCUUGACUUCUCAUUGUCUUCUGUGACUGCACAAGCCAGGAAAAAUUUUCCUACAUUUUAGUCUCAAUGCAGAAAAUGAAAUGUUGCACACACUUUCAUUUUUAGCAGGCAUUAUGAAGAUGGAAUUCUUUGUGGCUCACCCAAUUUCUACAAGUAGGUUGGCUCAUUCCAUAUUGUGCGUUCUUCCUUUGCUUAAUUUUCUAAUAUUUAAAUGUAUGAUUUUUCAUCUUUGGUACUUUAUUUUAUUCUUUUUUCAUGUCACUUAUGUUGGAGAAUUGGAUUUUAAUGAGAUCACUGUUUCUCUUUGAUUUCAAUGGUGUUCGGUAUUUACAAUAGAUUUAAUUGUUUGUUUUUUCAAUGGGUUCAUGUGUUGUUGAAGGAGAUAAGCACUAAAUUAUUUAAGAAAUUCUCGUCGUCUCGUAGGUAACUAUUGUUUUUCUUCACUAUUUUUGGGUAUAAUUACUUUAUUUCUUUGUGAUAUUACAAGAAAAAGUUGUGUAUGUUUAGUGGAGGUCCAAUUCAUUAAAUUUGUGAGAAGUUUUUGUAACUUUUUUUUAGUUAUGAUUUAUAUUAUUUGACAUGUAUCAUAAUACACUGAGCUUUAAUGAUGGUUUAGUUUAGUUUCGUUUCUUUAUAAUUUUUGUUAUUUCUUUAUUUAGGGUUUGAUCAUCAGAUAUUUAAGAGUUUCCUUUUUCUUUUCUUUUUUUGUAAUGGAUGGAGUUUGCAAUUGAUCAGUUGGUGUGAUUGUUUGGAUGUUUAUACUUCACUGGAUUUUGUAGUUCUUAUUUUUGUGAUUUGUGAUAAUUUUUGUUAGAAAGAUUUUUGAUGAUUUUUAAAAUCUUUGUUUGGCAUGAGUUCGUUUGGGCAACUUAACAUCUUUAUUUAAUAGUUGAUCAUAGUGAAAUUUGGAACAUGUGCCCUAUAAUGGGAAGGAUAAAGAACUGAUUUUAACAAUUUGAAUUACGAUUGGAUCUUUAUGGGCCUAACGAAAUUUUUUAAGUUCCAUACUAAAAUAUAUAUCUAUGUUUUUAAAUAGAACUAUUAUGAGACUUUAUUUCAGAGCUAGGAACUAGAUUGUUGUGUAGAAAGACGAAGAACGAAGAAGAUAUAUAAUUUAAAUAUGCCUAUUUGGUUGAAUGAGGUGAUUCAAGUCAAUUAGUGUAUAUAUUGUAUCUAGAUUGUAUGUAUUUCUGUUACAUAACUUUUUUUUUUUGUAACUUUCAGUUCACAUUCAAGUAGUUUUGUUCUUUUUAGAUGAACUUUUAGGUUUUGAGAAAGCCUGGAACGAAAAAGCUAGACAACAUCCUGACUGGAGUAAAGGAUUUAAUAUGCAAGGUAUUAUGGUGGUAUAGGCCAAAACAUAGAAGCAUUCGACGAUGUUUUAUGUGGGUAAGGAAUAGAUGGUGGUGGUCUAUAGUUUGAAGAGCCUCUUGGGUUAUUUGGACGCUAAAGUCGGAGUAUCUUCUAUCUAUUUUCCAAACAUAAUCUUCAAGUUGAACUCAAUCAUAUGGACGUGUCAACUAUACUAGGAAAAUAGUUAAUGUAACCCCAUUCAUUUCUUAUUCACAUAUAUUUUUUUAUCAAUCUAGGUGUGAUAGAAUGCUGUUGUGAGAUUGUAAAAGCCGUUAACAUGUUGCCAAAUUUUUCUUGCAUCGUGGGGAAAUUGAUAUAA